UUUUUUUUUUUUUCUUUCUAGGCAACUCUACAGACUUCAGAUCUUUUGCCUUGCAAUGCAGAUCAUCUUAUUCCCCCAAAGGUAGCCAGGUUCUUUAAACAUGCACAUCUCUGUAGCUUCCAGGCCGUGUAUUUUACUUAUUUUUGUUUAAAUUCUGCGGACUAGCAGGUUGUCCCCAUUCCUAAAAACUCUACAUCAGUGUUCCGGGUGGCCUGAGUGCUGGUCAGGCUCCUUGAGGGUUUACAGGAUAACACAGAAGAACUUCUUCUCUCUAAAGGGGUUUUCUGAGGCCGGGACAGGGGUCAAUAGAGGGUCCUCCUUGGCGUGGGCUUCACAGUACGCCAUCAGGUCUGCUAGACAAACUCUCAUACCUUUAUCCUGUCGAUGUUUGCCUCCAUCUUAAGCUGCUCCACCAGCUUGCGGGCUUGUGCUAUGCUAGCAGUGUUGUUGCUAGCCAUGGGCAGGCCAGGCACACUCUCCAGACAGGCUAUCUCUCCGGUGAUGUGUGCCUCUAGGGGAAGAUCUGCUCCUCUUGGCCGUUCACUACCUGGAGGCGGCGGUGCUGCCCCGCGGGGCGGGCGGCGACGGGACGGAGGGAUGGAUGGAUGGAGAGCUGAAGGGAGGGAGGGAUGGAGGGCCGGAGGCAGGAGGAGGGUGGUCAGCAGCAGCCCCGAGCAGCGAGUCCCCACCCAGCUUUGUCUGCGCUCAUCCCUCU
rnacentral:lncRNA from 1 species